AUUGAACGCUGGCGGCAUGCCUUACACAUGCAAGUCGAACGGUAACAGGUCUUCGGAUGCUGACGAGUGGCGAACGGGUGAGUAAUACAUCGGAACGUGCCUAGUCGUGGGGGAUAACUACUCGAAAGAGUGGCUAAUACCGCAUGAGAUCUACGGAUGAAAGCAGGGGAUCGCAGGACAUUGCGCUUCUAGAGGGGCCGAUGGCAGAUUAGGUGGUUUGUGGGAUAAAAGCUUACCAAGUCGACGAUCUGUAGCUGGUCUGAGAGGACGAUCGGCCACACUGGGACUGAGACACGGCCCAGACUCCUACGGGAGGCAGCAGUGGGGAAUUUUGGACAAUGGGCGUAAGCCUGAUCCAGCAAUGCCGCGUGCAGGAUGAAGGCCUUCGGGUUGUAAACUGCUUUUGUACGGAACGAAAAGCCCCGGGUUAAUACCCUGGGGUCAUGACGGUACCGUAAGAAUAAGCACCGGCUAACUACGUGCCAGCCGCCGCUGUAA
rnacentral:rRNA from 1 species